AUGGACACAUGGGCUUCGGGACUCCUACACGCAAGGCCCGCGCUUGCAGUCGGCUGUGUCUUCCCUCUCACAGGGGCUGUGGGAAGGAACCCAUCAGGACCUCGUCUGGGGCUGCCUUCCUGCGUGGCUCCUCCACAGCCCUCCCCGUGGCUGCUGACCUCACAGGGGGAGGGGGGAGUGUCCUGCUCCUGCGCCACGCCCCCCGCCAUGGGCCCCUGUCCCGUCGCGAGGUCCGGAGCAGCUCCGGCAGUGACCCAGGGUUCGGGUUCCAUCCGCCGUGCCAGCCGCCGGCUGUGUGGCCCACGAGCUGUCCACACUGCUUUCCGGAGACGCUGGUGCUCGGUGUAUCUGCGUGUUGGGUUCACCCCAUCAUUUACGCCUCCGCGGUGUCUCGACUGUUCCCCAGGCCCCCGGGGGUGCUCUCGGUGCAGGCGACAGCGGCCACAGCCGGCAGCAGGGGACACGGAGGCCGCUCCACGGCUGGAGCCGGGCUGCAGCUGCCUGCCCACGUCCUUGCCAAGUGAGGGUAAGAGCCCUCCUGAGAUGUGCAGGGGCCGCGGGGCGUCUGGAGCGGGCACUUGUGGACCACGGGCAGGGAGACUGCCUGGGCUGGCAGGCGGGGGCGUGCAGGAGGGUCUCUGCGGGCAGAGGCGGCCUGGGAACAGGUGUUUGUGGUGACAAUAGCAGUCGCCAUGACAACCGUCACCAGUGCUUCCUGCUGCAGAAUCAAGUUGUCUCCAGGGGAACUCUGAGGCUGGGAAGACUGUGAUUCCCUCUGGGAGGCAGGGAGGGGCUCAGGGGCCUGGGGGUACUGCUCCCUGCUUCUCGCGUGGGCCUGGAGCAGGGCUGUUUCUCAGGCAGAACCCCCCAAAGCUGCUGCCUGGCCCUGAGCAGGCUGGGAGGGCUGCCUGGUGCUGCCCAGUGAAGGCAAGGCCUUGAGAGGGGGCUGGGGGUGCAGGGCCCCCGUACACUGAGCGUGUGGUGCCAAGGACGGUGCCUCGCAGGAGAGGUGCUGGUAGGCAGUACGGGAAGACGAGGAGGGCAGCGCCGUGUCAGGGAGCCUGCUCGGCUCCAGUCCCAGCUCGCCUCUGCGGGUGCUGCGGGGGGCAGACGUGUGCCCGUGGGAGCCUCAGCCCUUCCCGUUGCUGGGCCACGGCUCCUGAGUGCGUGUGGGAUGCGGGCCGCGAGGGAGCAGGGGGGCUGGGGAGGAGAUGGCCAGUGCCACCUGAGACACAUCCAUCAGGCUGGCUGCAGGCGGGGUGGCCACGCUCAGAGCCAGGUCCCUGCCCUCCAUGCACACCCCAGGGUUCCGCUGCAGGGAUGGGAGGACACGGGGCAGUGAGGAGACAGGCGUCCAGGGAGGGGCUCCCGGGGAGGGGGUGACCCGGGCACCCUCAGUCUGGGGGAGGAUCUCUGAGCACCGCAGGGGGGCCAGAUCCGCAGCCCCACGGGGCUACUCGGUCGUUGGCGGUGAGCGGCAGCUUUUACACCCUCCUCCCACCUCCGUGUGUAUCCGGCGUUCACAUCCCCAGAGCACUGCUCCUGUCUUGGAAACACCCCUCUCCUUGCUGCCAGCUCCACGGGCACACUGUCCCUGCCUCGCCCGGCUUUCCAAGCCCCUGGAUCCUCCCUUUGCUUCCAGCGUUAGGGAGCCCCCUCCUGCAAAGUGUGAAACAGCAGCGAAGCUGGCAGGGCGCCAGGGCACCAGGCUGCGGGCGGCGAGCAGCCUGCUGGCCCCACUUGGGGGGCACCCGGGUCCCUGUCCACGGAUCUGCAGAGGGAGGGGUGCGCCCUGUCUGCCCAGGUUCCAGGUUCCUCUUCCGCACCAGGCUGCCCAGCUUCAUAAACCUCAGACUGAGCCCUAAGAGGUUAUAAGCUGCAGGUUUAAAAAUGUCAAAUCCAAUCCUGGAGGACACAGAGGUACAAGAUGAACAGCUCGCCAGCUGGGUUGGGCCGAGCCUGGCGCGCUGUUCAUGGUCUCUUUCCACAGCGCGUGGAGCCAGGGGCCAGCGCCGCUCCUCCACGUGGCACCCGGGGCUGCUGGGGCAGCUGCCUCCCUGCGGCCGUUCCUACCUUCAAGGGCAGGUCGGAGCCGCUCAGCUGCACACCGCCACCCCCAAGAUGAACCCCAAGCGGACACUUGAAUUGAUCUGAACAACCCUGCCGCCGAUGCCUCAGUUUUGGGGUGACCACACCGCCGCCCCGGAACGCGCUUCCGGUGGGUUUGAUUUCCCAUGGCUCCGAAGCAGAUUGGAGCGGGCUCUCCAUGGCCAGAAGCAGAUGCCGUGGAGAGAUCUGGGAGCAAACGGGGUAGAGCCUGCGAGGCCGACGCUGCGGGAGCCCCAGCUGAACUGAGACGUCCACCUCCCCCUGGUCCUGCGCACCUCAGGGCCUCGUGGUUGCAAACACGAGUUACCGAGGAGACGUGCGCGGCUCUUUUUGAACUCUGAAGACUUUGUGUGUUUGGUUUGGCUAAGGACACAAUCAAGUAGAAAUUUUGCAACAAAUAUGACGAUGCUUCCUUCCCCCUGGGCACGUGAGCUUCUGCCGUGCGUGUGCCGUGUUGGAAUUGCCGUCUGCCCGCUGCUCUGAGUCUCCCCGCGUUUUAGCCCACCCUGGGCAGUUUUCCCCGCCAUCAGCAAGGGCUCUCCGGUCUCACGUAAGCAGCAGCUCAGGACUUCCCUGAACCCCGCGCCUUUCCUUGCCAAGUGCUUCUUCCAGGGCGUUGCUGGCUGCGUCCAGAGGGGAACUGGGCGGCUCUUGUCUGUCACAGAAUAAACACAUGGUGCCUAGUAGGUGGGUGACA
ensembl:lncRNA